rnacentral:rRNA from 1 species
UACGUAGGAGACGAGCGUUGUCCGGAAUUACUGGGCGUAAAGCGCGUGUAGGCGGAGGAGCAAGUCUGCUGUGAAAGCCCCUGGCUUAACCGGGGGUGGUCGGUGGAAACUGCUCGUCUGGAGGACGGUAGAGGUAGGUAGAAUUCCCGGUGUAGAGGUGAAAUUCGUAGAUAUUCGCAAGAACACCAGUGGCGAAGGCGGCUCACUGGCCCGAUACUGACGCUGAGGCACGAAAGCGUGGGGAGCAAACAGG